rnacentral:rRNA from 1 species
UACGGAGGGGGCUAGCGUUGUUCGGAAUUACUGGGCGUAAAGCGCACGUAGGCGGCUUGGUAAGUUAGAGGUGAAAGCCUGGAGCUCAACUCCAGAAUUGCCUUUAAGACUGCCGAGCUAGCAGGUGAGAGAGGUGAGUGGAAUUCCGAGUGUAGAGGUGAAAUUCGUAGAUAUUCGUAAGAACACCAGUGGCGAAGGCGGCUCACUGGCUCAUACUGGACGCUGAGGUGCGAAAGCGUGGGGAGCAAACAGG